UUAAAGUGGCAGAAGAAUGCAAGGAAUUUAAGCUUCCUUUAUGAGGUUUCCUUUAAC
rnacentral:tRNA from 1 species